CCUGGCUUUAGGACUUCAGAUACAAUCAUGUCAGAGCUCAGGGCUUCAACAUAUGAAUUUUGGGGGCACAGUUCAGUCCAUAGCAAUACUUCCAUUCCCCUGACCUGCAACAUGUCCAGUUACUUCGAAAAGUACUUGUCAUCCACUAUAUUAAUAACAUGCUCAUUGCCAGCCUAUGAAACAAGUUGACCACUCCAUACAUAAGGUCAUAGAUAAUAUGACACAUGCAGGUUGAGUUGUCAGCCCUGAUAAGAUCCCAAGACUUGCCCAACAAGUGCAGUCCCUGGAGCUACCUGGUCCAGUAAUUAGAGGAGUAUUCCUGAUAAAGUCAAAUAUUGUCCUUGGCAGCCCCCACCUAAAAGAAGCUCAAUAGCUGGUAUGCCUGUUUGUCUAUUGGAGAUAACAUGUAUCACAUCUGAGUAUUAUUUUGCCUCCUUUAGUUAAAAUUACCCACAACACAGCCACCUCUGAAUGGGGCCCUCAACAACAGCAGACUCGAGAGGCC
rnacentral:lncRNA from 1 species